rnacentral:rRNA from 1 species
GAUUUUUAUAUAUAAUUUUUUAAUAAAAUUUAGUUAAAUUAUAUUUUAAAUUUAUUAUAUAUUAUAUUGGGGUAAUAAUAAAAUUUUAUAAAUUUUUAUUUUUUAAUAACAAUUAUAGUUGAAUAAUUGAUCCAGUAUUAUUGAUUAAAAAAUUAAAUUACCUUAGGGAUAACAGCAUAAUGAUUUUUGAGAGUUCUUAUCAAUAAAAUAGUUUGU